GCGCUCUUGGAGUCCUGGCUGCACAGCUGAUAUACGCAGUACACAUGUAUACGCGCUUCGUGUUGUUGUCGAAUCGAAAUUGUAGGCGGAAAAAGCAGAUUAGAUAUUUCUUUGUCAGAAAGAUAUUUUUUUAAAAAUCUCAUCCGAAUUAAUCAGUCGUUCUCUUCGUCAUUAUAUAGAGGCUUAUUGUCGUGCGACAAAGAUGCCUAAUAUAACCAAUUUAACUCAUUUUCCCUUAAAGCUCAUAUUUACAAUUCACUUGAUACUUGUAACAUGGGCUAUGCAGGGAGGUUGGUGUCCAAAAUCUGUAUUGUUCUAUAACCUACUAUUCUUUGUUUGCAUAUUUUGGGCUGUUCGUGAUGUUGAGUCAGACGAACCGCUGCAAUUUGCACUUUUCAUAAAUGUAAUCUCUAUAGUUCUUGAUGUGAUCACAUUGGCAAUCUAUAAUCCAUAUUACAUCCAUGGGCCAGAAACGUUUAGCGCAAUCUUCAUGAUCAUAAAUUUGGUCGCUCGACCUAUCUCGAGUAUAUAUCUGUUGCGAAUAGGCCAGGCGAGAAAUGGCAAUUUAGCCACGGUAUUCGUACCAAGUCCUGCCACGGGUUAGUAAAUCACUGGUCACACCAGUGAUUUACACUUUUGUAUCUGCACUUUUUGUAAUAUGUCAGUGCUUCAACAAGCUUCUGAUUUUAAGAUACAACAGGCAAGAGUAUGAGGAGAUUUCUCAUCCCGUCCCACAGAACUCCGAUUUUGAACCAGUUUAAAAAGGGCUGAACAGAAU